GGAUGAAUAUAAGAAAUAAUUAAGUGAAGAGUUGGUCCUUUAAUCCUUGUUUGAAUUUUGCAAAUACAGUAUUAAGCCACUCCUAACUCCUACCAAAGCAGGCCAUUCAGCGCACUUGAAAAAAAAUUCCCUCCGAUACUUAGAUAGCAAGUUUUAUUCCUAACCAACGCAAUCAGCCACCUGGAUGGCAUGAGUUUUGAUAGAAGAGGUUGCAGAGGGUGGGGGACUGGGGCCCCCACAGUGGGCUUUAGCAGCAUGAAGGUACUGCAGAGGGGUGCUGGGGGACGGGAGGGGUUUCCAGAGAGGGCGAUGGGAGGGUGCCAAAGAUGAAUGGGGCUCACACCA
rnacentral:lncRNA from 1 species